CAUCACAGGUCAAAUGAACUCCAGCUUUUUAGUUUGUAACAACUGUAGAAGCACACACAGUUGUGGAAAGUAACACCCAAAGAUGCUACAAACCUUUGUGUAUGAAGAAAAUUCUUAUGUGAAGAG